UUCGGUAUGCUAUAUAAUAAUACUCGUGUAGGAACAAAGUGAAUGGGUGGCGGCCAAUCUCGUAUGAAGGGAUGUGAUGGCUUAUGAAAGUAAGCAGCAACUCUACAGAAAGGAGCGGCCUUUGUGUCUAUCGCAGAAGCGAUGCAAUUAAUGCUGGGCUUUGGAAGUCUUUUGAUUUCUUUAGUCAGCCUCU
rnacentral:sRNA from 1 species